GGGCGGUUAGCUCAGCGGUAGAGCACUACGUUGACAUCGUAGGGGCCACUGGUUCGAUCCCAGUACCGCCCACCA
rnacentral:tRNA from 20 species